CGCAUUUGGCCUCACUGCUCCACCUCCACCGCCCACCCUCCACCACACGGAUCUCAUCACUCGUUCGCCAAAAGAAGCUCUCAUCCCGGCCACCGGCGUACUCUUCCAGGCCGUCAUACGGAUCUCACUACUCCUUCGCCAGAAGGAGAAGAUCUCAUCCCGGGCGCCGCCGUACUCAUCAGGCCGCCGCGUAUAAGGCUCCUUUGAGCGGCGCAAUCUGCAAGUAGCCAUGUCCGACUCGCCCAGCUUCCCCCAUGUCGCCGCCUCCUCUCUGACGCCGGCGCCGCCUUCUUCCCCCAUGUUGUGCUGGUUCCACAUCUGAAGCUUGGUUUUUUGCGGGGCGGCCCAACGAGGCGUCCAUCCCAGAGGGCCCCUGGCCAUAGCAGCCGACUCCGCUCCUCCCUCCUCGCAUGCACCUAACACCUCGUUGAGUGAGGAGUUCUUGGUGUUCACCUUCUACAAGCUGGUGCCCGUCGACGACGCCCGCGCACACCUCCACUUCGUGCAGGUUAGGAAGAUUACUUGGAUGCUUUUCAGGCUUCUCCAGCAUUAACCGAGCAUGCUCUCAGUACAAACAAUGACUUAUUCAGUAGGGAAAUUACUGGAGUAGCUGGCAUCAGUUGAUCAAUUUCAUCAGAGGUCAUGUUCAGCUGCAGAAACUGUGUUUGGCACACAUCGGAGGUCAUGUACUGCAUAUGAUCAAAUUAGAGAACAAGCAAGGAGUAUCAUCCAGUUUCAGUAAUUGAAAGUGAAAUGGGAUGAUCUGCAACACCACAAUUUGGAUGAAUUUGUUCAAAGAUGACACCAAUUUCAGCAGGCAUUGUACCUUUCAACCACCACCACCAAGCAGCAGAGGCGGGGGCGCUUGAGUAAAUCAAAGUCGAUGAUCGGGGGCUCUACACCACCCCAGCAGCACCAGCUGCAACAGAGGCGAGGAAGACAACAGCAGUAGCAGAGGCCAGAGUGGCAGAAAAUUUCGCGUCGCUGGUGGCCGAAGCGGAUGAAGUGGCUGGUCCUGCGAGUGGCGGCGGUGGUCGCCUCUGUGGCAGCGGCGCAGGUGGAUGGUGGCGCUGCGCCGGACGGUUGAUGCGCUGGUCGCUUCCGUGGGCGGCGGUGGUGGGGCAGUGCAGGUGGGUUGCGGUGGUCGAGCUGCGCAGGUGGGCCUCCGUGGCGGCUGCGCAGGUGGUCGGUGGCGUUCGACCCGACGGUGGCUCCCGCCGGCGGGGGAGGAGGAAGGAAGGAGACGGGUUUAUUUUUCAAGGGGGUUAAACGUAUGAGAUUUUUUUUCUUUUUUGCAAAAAACACAAUGAACACUUUUCUGGACGGAGAGAGUAGUUUUUAUGUCUUGAUGAUCCGUACUUGAUCAUGUUUAUAUUUGUUUAUUUAUUUGAACCAGAAACUGAAUCUAAUUUUUUAAAGGAAACUGAAUCAGUAUCUAUGUAUCAUCC
rnacentral:rRNA from 1 species